GGUUUCUUGAAAGAAUAAGAGAUUUAACCUGCCCACUAGAAUUAUAAUUAAAUGGCCGCAGUAAAAUGACUGUGCAAAGGUAGCAUAAUCAUUAGUUUUUUAAUUGAAAACUAGAAUGAAUGGUUGAACGAGGUAAAUACUGUUUCAUAAAAAUGAAUUGAAUUUUUAAAUUAAGUAAAAAGACUUAAAUAUAUUUAAGGGACGAGAAGACCCUAUAGAGUUUAAUAGUUUUAUUUUAAAUUAAGUUAAUAAAAAAUUUUUGGUUAAAAAGAUAUUUAUUUGAUUGGGGAGAUAAAAGAAUAAUAAAAACUUUUUUUUUAGGUAAAUUAUAUGAAAAGAUGAUUGAUCUGUAAUUAAUGAUAGGAAGAUUAAAUUACCUUAGGGAUAACAGCAUAAUUUUUUUUAAAAGUUCAUAUUGAAAGGAGAGAUUAUGACCUCGAUGUUGGAUUAAGAUGAAAUUUGGGUGUAGAUGUUCAAAAUUUAGGUCUGUUCGACCUUUAAAAUCUUACA
rnacentral:rRNA from 1 species